ACAAGAAGCAUUCACUCUUUUGGCUGGCUCCAAUAUCCGCCGGCUUGAUGAAUUUAUAGGAGAAUUCGUCGCCACCGCACUGCAGAGAUGGCCAGCCAACAUAACGAAUGUCAGAAAGAAUAAGUAGCAAGAAACAAAUUCAUAAUGUGUGAUGAAGUUUCAGAGGCGCCGGCCGUUAUCACAGCUGCCAUUAUUUUCACUGCUUCGAUAUCAUCAUCUUGACUAAUAAAUUACAACCACGUAGUGUGAGACUUCAGGCAAAUUCUCAUGGCGGGCGCUGCUGCAGAAAGGUCGCAAGAAGGUGCACCAACAUGAGCUGUUGCAGCCUUUUGUGCACCAAGUGGUUCCAGAAACGUCAGAACAAAGCCAUGAAUUAAUGAACCACGGAGAAAAAUAAAGCUGGUUUUAUCUUUGAUGGCUUAGGGAAUUAACCGGUGAUCAGGAAAAAGCGCAGGUCUUCUCCCUCGUCUAGAUCUAUAAAAAGAGAUGGAAGGAUGACGCUCGUCAUCUGGGUGACACGAUGAAGGAUGACAAUUUGUCGUUGCUUUUGGACGAUGUGACAAAGGAUGAUGAAACAUUGUCUUUUGUCUCUUCUUGUAGAUCUGGACGACGAAGGGUCGUCUUUCGUAGUCAAAGAUAGAAGAUGGGUGAAAAACAUCUGUUGUCGAUCAGAAUGAUGGUAAUUGGAGAAGAAGGCAAACCCUAUAGGUGAAAUCUAAACUUUUCAAACUUUGAGAAUGGGUUGAAGUGUUAGUUUUUAAAACCUGAGGGGGAAAUAUAAAAAUUUUAAAAUUUUAAGGUUUAUAAGUAAA